rnacentral:ncRNA from 1 species
CUAUAAGCCUGGUCCUGACUUUGUCAUCCGCCUUAACCAAAUUUAUACAUGCAAGUAUCCGCACCCCCGUGAGAAUGCCCCUAAAAUCCUACUCGGAAACGAGGAGCAGACAUCAGGCGCACAACCGUAGCCCACGACGUCUUGCUAAGCCACGCCCCCAAGGGAUUUCAGCAGUAAUAAACAUUAGGCAAUAAGUGUAAACUUGACCUAGUUACGGUUAUAAGAGGGCCGGUAAACACUCGUGCCAGCCACCGCGGUCAAACGAGGUAGUGCCCAAGCGGAUAACCAACGGCGUAAAGAGUGGUUAGGGAAACCCACAACUAAAGCUGAAUGCCCACAGAGCCGUGAUACGCAUCCGAUGGCAUGAAACCCCACCACGAAAGUGACUUUAACCCAACCCGAACCCACGACAGCUAGGACACAAACUGGGAUUAGAUACCCCACUAUGCCUAGCCGUAAACACUGAUAAAACCACCACAAAUUUUAUCCGCCCGGGUACUACAAGCAUUAGCUUAAAACCCAAAGGACUUGGCGGUGCUUUAGACCCACCUAGAGGAGCCUGUCCUAGAACCGAUACCCCCCGUUCAACCUCACCACUUCUGGCUCGAUAUUCCGUCUGUAUACCUCCGUCGUCAGCUUACCCCGUGAGGGGAUCAUAGUAAGCUAAAUUGGCACACCCCCAAAACGUCAGGUCAAGGUGCAGCGCACGAAGUGUGGAAGAGAUGGGCUACAUUUUCUGACCCAGAAAAUUACGAAAGGGAAAAUGAAAAACCCCCUGAAGGAGGAUUUAGCAGUAAGCAAGGAACAGAGUGCCCUGCUGAAAUUGGCCCUUAAGCGCGCACACACCGCCCGUCACUCUCCCCAAACCCAACCCUCCAAUAACAUAUUAUGUCAACUGGGUAAAGAGGAGGCAAGUCGUAACAUGGUAAGUGUACCGGAAGGUGCACUUGGAAUAUA